rnacentral:lncRNA from 1 species
UUUCCUUUAUUUAUUUGCCUUUAUUUUCCUUUAUUUUUUCCUUUAUUUAUUUUCCUUUUUUUUCCUUUAUUUAUUUUCCUUUAUUUUUUCCUUUAUUUAUUUUCCUUUAUUUUUUCCUUUAUUUUCUUUUAUUUUCCUUUAUUUUUUCCUUUAUUUAUUUUCCUUUAUUUUUCCUUUAUUUUCCUUUGUUUUUCUUUUUUUUCCCCUUUAUUUUCUUUUAUUUUUCCUUUAUUUUCCUUUAUUUAUUUUUUCCUUUAUUUUUCCCUCUAUUUAUUUUCCUUUAUUUUCCUCUAUUUAUUUUCCUUUAUUUUUUCCUUUAUUUUCCUUUAUUUUUUCCUUUAUUUAUUUUCCUUUAUUUUUUCCUUUAUUUUCCUUUAUUUAUUUUCUUUUAUUUUUCCCUCUAUUUAUUUCCCUUUAUUUUCCUUUCUCUCACGUUCUUUCCCUUCCUCCCAUUUUAACUUAGUUCAGCUUUUCCCUUCCUUUCUCUUCCUUUUAUUCCCCUGAUUUCUUUUCAUCCCUUUCCAUUUCUGUACCUUUUAUCUCCUUUUUAUUUCCAAUUUCUUUCCUUUUUACGCUUUUAUUCCUUUCCCUUUCCCAUCCUUUGUUUUUACCCCUCUUCCACCCCCCUUUUUUCCAUGGAUUUUGGGGUUUCCAGUGGGAAUUCACGGCUGGAGGGGAAACUGAGGCAGGACUCUCUGUGCCCACAGGUGCCAGGGGGGCGUGGGGGGUGCCCCCCGUGUCCCCACGGUGUCCCCGAGCCCUGGGCCCACAGUGAGGACCCCAAAACCACCCCGAACCCAGGAGCAGCCCCCCAAAAAGCGACCCCGAAACGCCCCGAGCCCGCGGAGGAGGAACCGGAGGAGCCGUGCCCGCCCUGCGGCCCUGGGGCACCUGCCGGAGGAAGCGGCAGCUGGACAAGGCGCGGGACGCGGCGGAGGCGGAGAAGCCGCGGGGGGACGGCGGCGGCAGCACCGAGAGCGCCGGUCCGGAGCGGGGCCAGCCCGGUGAGCGCCCCGGGAGCGCGGCCGGGGGACACCGGGGGUUUGGGGACACCGGGGACCGGGGGACUGG